AUUAAAAAAUUUUACAUUACACAGAUGAGGCAAUUUUACAUUAAGCAAAAGAAACAUGAAGUCAAGAAAUGUAAAUGUGAAAUUGUCAUCGAUCUCCACUUACAUUUAAAAAUAUAUACAAUAACAACCUAGUUCCUUGUCAGUCUUAAGUAGGAAGCGUCAUAUAAUGCAUACCUACAACAUAUGUUGAAAAAAGUACAAAAAGAUACUAUAAUCAAGUUUGCCAACAGGUUUUCUGUUCCUACAAACUGGCACUUCCUUGCAGCCUCUCUACGUCAUCACCUUUUUUGGUCUCUCUGGGUCAUCACCACAAGUCUCCGGCCUCCACCAUUGUGCCAAACUCCGUGAAUUGGCAACAUUUCAGGUGGGUUCUUCUUCCAACAUGUUUUUUCAUCAUUCCCGUCAGGUCCAGCACCAGGAUUGUCUUUAUCUAGAAGUUGAGCAGCUGAUAUAUCACCAAGUCGGUUUUUAAGGAACUUUGACAUUUUUUUAUGGGAUUUGUUCCCUCCCCGAGCCCCCACAUUCUUCUCUGGGCAACCACUACCUGACUGAGUAUCAUUAUUGUUCCUCGGCUCUAUUAAAGAAUUUGGGCUCUGUUGUUCCUCAACCAAAAUCUUUGAUUUGCCUUUCCCAGAGUGACAUACAACCUUUGAUGAGAUCUUUGCUUCAUCCAAUGAAGGUUUAUGGUUUAACUGCAAGUUCAUCAUCUCACUAGCACUAGUACCAUUUUCUGCCAGAGCAUUUUCUGGAAGAUAGAUCCCAUUAUCUUCACAUUUCUCUUUACCUUUCUUUGAACUUUUCUUACUUUUGGAAUGAUCAUUGACAAUGCUUAAACCAUUUUCAUUAGAACCAUUCCUCCUUGUAUUAUACUUGUAAAUCUCAACAAGCUCUCUUUGCUUCUGAGCAUUGGGACAAAGCAUAGCUAGCUCCAGAACCAAAUGUGACAAGCCAAAUUGAUGCACAUAGGCAAGAUAUUCCCCAGUAUCAAUUAAAUCCUGUCGAUACUCCACAGAUAUUACUUUAAAUGCAGCGUAUUUGUCCCGAUCAAAAUCUAAUGCAGCACGAAUUUUUUCCACCAGAGCCUUAUUAGCAGAUUCAACAUUUUCAGCUUUCAGCAGGAGCUUGCUACUUGUGGUCAAUUUGUCAACUUGAGGGUCGGAAAAGGAUUUGUCAUGAGUUUCUCUGUCUACAAGGUUUUGAGCUGAAGAAGAACAAUAGACCUUGCUAGUGCUACUUUGAGUCCUUGAUGAACUUGCAAAACUUGAAGACAAAACUAGGUCAUUGGCAGCUGAUGGUCCAGACUGAAUAGAGCUUUCAUGACCAGAUAGUGCGUAUUCAUUAGUAGCUGCCGGUUUAAUCUGGGAAGAACUUUGAGAACUAGAUGAUGAUAAAAGCCCAGAAUCCAACACAGGCCUCGAGUGGUAAGAAAUGCUACCUGAAGAGUUAGGGUAAUGACUUGCUGCUGGUGAAGCCCGAGAAUAAUUAAGAACUUCUACAGUGUUCUGGUGACGCAGGUGAGCAGCCAUUGUGUUCCCACUUAACCCAUUCAUAGCAUUUCUUGAUCUUUGCACACUGAUUCUUGGAGCCAUUGGAAGUGGGGGAAAGGAUGAUUCUUCCAGCAGGGUCCCUGUAGAGUUAUGCCCUAAAACCAGACAAUAACUUGAAGAUGGCUCAGAGUCGGUACCAGCUAAUGGCUCAAAUGGGUUAACAGUUGACUUAAUUUCACUUGUUUCUCUGUGACUUGUUUGGGCAUUCAAGGAAAUGUCAUGAAACCUAACAGCAUUAAAUGUCUCACGACUAUCUUCUGCCAUGGAAAGUUGAAUGUCUGAUGAGCGGGGAUGAUUUCCAUCAUCAUGUUCACAACUUUGCUGAUACUGGAAACUUGUUGGUAUCUGGAUACAGGGAAAGAAAGAGUAGAACACUACUAUAUCCACCAGAAAAAAUAAUGCAAAUCAAUGCAUGAAUAUGCUGACAUUAAAAUAUUAUAAAGAGCUCAAAUGCAGCGGAUAAGCCAAAAUAUCUCCAACAUUGCAAAAACUAAGAGGGAAAAAAGUCUAUACACACCAGCAGUGCAGCAUUACGCUUAGCAUGAGACAUGCGCCCUCCAUGUUCCAUGGCAUCAUGCCUCUAUGGAAGUACAUAACAAGUCUGAAUUAUAUAGUACACCCAUGAAAAAAAAAACUUUGAAAAAUGCUUAAGAAAAAGAAAAAUGUACAUCAUAUAAAGUGUGCUAGAUAACACCUUCAUUUCGGAUUCAGCUGCAAAAACAAUGAACUUUUUCGCAAGACAGGCUUCAUCUUCACAUAAAAAAUGUCCUUGGCGAAAGUGUAUCUGAGACAAACUUUGUCAGUUAAACAGGAAUAUUUCUCAUGAAAGUACAAUGACAAGCAUAUAAUUUAACCAGCAUGAAAACUAAAUAUAACUAACCUCCAAAUCAUCGUAAUCAUUAAAGUACUCAUAUCGUCCUGGAUGCCGCUUUUGGCAUAUAUGGCACGUAAAAUGCUCAGUGGACAUGUGCAAGUAAAGCUCAUUAUCCCCAUAGGAUGGGUUCUGACAGAAUUCACACAUAGGAUGGCCCAUAAAUCCACCUCUUUCACUUUCACUGCCAUCAACCACCGAGUCACCAGUCUUCACAUGUUGAUUCAACUGUGCUCUAUUGUAUAACUUUUGCUCACUUAUAAAUAUCUUCCUGCCUUCUAAACAAAGACUGCACAUAAACAGUCUAUGCUGGUGGAACAAAUGAAUCUUCAGCUGCUCAAUGCAAUUAAAAUCUCCUGUUCUUUUUGAUCUUCUGCUUUUUGGUUCAUUCUUUCUGUCACAAACAUUGCAUGAUAGCCUGCACAUGGCCUUUAUCAUUUUGUAGUGAUCCAGAUCAUCAAAAUAUGCUCGUGCGCCUUCAUGAAACCAGUACUGCCCAACUUGGCCUUCAAUUGGAUUGGCUGGGAAAGCAGAGAAAUCAUUUACCAUCCUUGUGUAAUCACCGAGAGCCUUGGUGACAAAGAUGAUACUGGAUUCAGAUUUGCAGAUGCAGCAACAUUGAUCAUUGCAGAUGAAACGGAGACGGAUUGUGCAAGUUGAGCAGACCUCCCGAUGGCCACAUGGUCCAUAAGCAACCCACUUGAGUGUCUCAGCACAGACAGCACAACUAUCAUCCAUAGCUUCUGAGUUCUGAAAAGAGACUUAGUUUGUCGGUGAGAAGGAUCACAACACCGAAUAAGAGCAGAUCUGUGAAGCAAAAUGAAUUAACGUGUAGAUUAGGGUUUGCCAGAGAGAAAUGAAAAUGCGAUCGUGUGAUACUCGUGAAGUGAAGAAAGCUUUCUUUCUUUGAAUUUCGUGCUAUAAAGUAAUUAAAAGCAAACCGACAAAAUGAGGGAUUCUUUUAUUCUUAUUAUUAUUUUUUUUUCCUUUUUCACCGUUGUAAUAGCGAUUUGCUGAUUUCUGUAUUUCGCUGUCUUCUUCUUAGGAACCAAACAGAAAUAUUGGGAAAUAAAGGCGCCGUGGCGGGGGACGAUGACUGGCGCGCAGAGAAGCACAUUAACUCGCCUAACCGGGCAAUUG
rnacentral:misc_RNA from 1 species